UACGUAGGGCGCAAGCGUUGUCCGGAAUUAUUGGGCGUAAAGAGCUCGUAGGCGGUCUGUCACGUCGGCUGUGAAAACCCGAGGCUCAACCUCGGGCCUGCAGUCGAUACGGGCAAACUAGAGUACUGCAGGGGAGACUGGAAUUCCUGGUGUAGCGGUGAAAUGCGCAGAUAUCAGGAGGAACACCGGUGGCGAAAGCGGCUUACUGGGUCUCUUCUGACGCUGAGGUACGAAAGCUAGGGGAGCGAACGGG
rnacentral:rRNA from 1 species